GAACCAUCAAGCCCUGCUUGGUCUUGGGCGCGGUCUAGAGACCCGUCCGCAACUAGUUGGCGGUGCAGUCCAGCUCCAAGCGUAGCAGAAAUCUCGCUUUAGGGGCCCGCGGCGGCCCUUGCCUAGGAAUUUCAUCUCAAA
rnacentral:misc_RNA from 1 species